ensembl:lncRNA
UCAGGGCUGACGUCCAAACACAUCAUGCCAGAUUAUACUCGGGCUUUCUCAUUCUCUACCCAAAUGUUCUCCUUCAAAGGUCUAAUUAUAGUGACUUCUAUUUUCUUGUAAAUAAUCACAUCUGUCAUAACUGAUUUCACUGAUCCAAGGCUUCAAGUUGGCAGUCUUGGAGGCCUGAGCCAAUGUGUCAAUUAUGCCAAGCGGGCUGUAAGUGAAAGUUGCACGAAAUGGAAGAGAGAGGAAAAAAAUUCGCUGCAGGCAUAUAUAUAGAUGGUGGGGACCAAGACGUGCUUUUUCACAAUAACAAUAUCAACACAAACUCCCAAAGGCGGCCAGUGGAGUCAAUGAGUGAAACUGACACAGCCGGCCAGAUCCCAGAGAAGGAAAACCAUCUUUUUAGUGGAGACUCGGUCUUAGAAACAGGUUUUACUAAUAUCCUUUGCACCUAAAGUGACGACGCCCCCCCCCACCCCGCCCCGGAACGUGCCAUAGCUCUUUGUGCUUGUUUUCAAGAGGGAAGACAGAAUACAGGGAUCCCUCCCAUGAAAGGGUCCCGUAUCUGAAGGGCUGUGUUUUGAGUGCAGCUGCUCAGCCAGCAUAGCAUCUGGACUUGGCGACCCGUCUCUCUCCACCUACCUUAUCAUAUUGUGACUAAGCAAGUCAUUUCACUUUCCUCAAUUCGUCUCAGCUUCCUCACCUAUAAAAUGAGGACAACCUACAACUCCCAUGGGGCCGAAUGAUACAAUGACCGUGUGUGGCAGCCUCUGGCAAGUGUUCACACGGCAUAAAUGCGAAUCACCAUCACGAUGAUGCAUAGAUCAGUGGGUAUGGCGUCCUGCUUUCAAUCCGUGGGGGUGGUUUUUUUCCCUCCUCAAAAAAUUCUAAGUAGAAAGAGUCAUGUUUUAAGUCAGAGAGGGGAUGGGAGAAAGGACGAUGGGAUCUAGUGGGACUUUUUUCAUAGGGAGGUAUUUGAAAGUCAUCUUGCCAAUUAAGCUCCGCAAGUCCCUGUGUCUGACGGGAAGUUCCAAGAAAAGAGUGUUUUCUAGGUAAGAACAGGGAGAAAUGAAAGGCAGCUCUCAUCUACUUCCUCAGGUGCUUCGAGGGAAGGGACACAUGCUUCUGGUGACUCAAAUCCUGCAGCAGGUGUAACCUCCUUUGGGUCUGGUCAACCCAUGGAGCAGAGGCGCUAAGAGCACAGACUUUGAGCUUUGAGUCCAGCUCAAUGCUCCACUCAUGGGACGGAUUUGGGCACGUUAUCUCACCUUCGUGUGCUUCAAUUUCCUCACCUAUAAAAUGAGGACCAUAACCAUACACUACCUACCCCUGAGGGUGGUGGUGAGGAAUAAAGGAAUGAACACGUCAGUGGCUGAUAAGAGGACCAGGAACACAGGACGCAAUCAGUACCUGUCAAUGGACAUAUUCCAGCAUGACCGCAUCCAGCAUUUAUUAACCUGUGUGUUUAACAAGUGAGUUCUCUUUCAGAUUUUCCACCUCCACCUUCUUCCUAAGAAGGAAAUUCUGAGUACCAUCUAUAAGACGGUUGAACCACUACGUUGUACAUGUGAAACUAAUAUUAUAUUGAGGAUCAACUAGGCUUCAAUAAAAAGAAGGAGAUUCUGCAGUCCACACAGAGAAAACCUGGCAGCAAAGCACAAUGCUAAGAGCACUGUGAUCUACAAGGGAAUCUUCAGGAGGGGCCCCGAGGUAGCCUC